AUCAAACAUUAUCAAUAAACAACAAAGAACAAGCAGAAAAAGAAGACGGAGAAGCAGUUUUUUAUUUCUUUUCCUUUCUUCUCUCUCUCUCUCAUGUUGCUUGUUCAGAU
rnacentral:ribozyme from 12 species